UGAGGGCGGGGGCUGUUUAAUUUCAAACCCCUCUCUGACGCACAGAUGUAUGCCUGGGGAGUCGUGCUUUUUCUCUCCUUUCCCUUCCCAUCCAACGAAGCCUCCUCUAGCAACCUCAAAAGGUUCGACGAGAGAGAGAGAGACAGGCAUUUCGAAUCCUAAAGCUUCCAACUUUUCUCUCUCUACUCUUCUCUUUUUUUUAGGGCUGAAAUGUGUUCUGUCACUCGAUCUCUGGCCGAUACGGUCCAUGGCGUUGUCUACUUCAGAAAAGGUUCACAGACACAGCUGAAACUUGAUGCUGGGGUUUUGCUUUGUUCCUACAUUUCAAGUGAACAAAUCUUAUAUUACUUGGAGGUAUUCUCAGAAGUAAUGAAUUAAUACACCUAAGAUUUGGAAUUGGGAAUGAAGCCAUUGGUCCGUGUAGCAUAUUCAUGUAUGUAUCGAAUUAAUAUUUCCUGUAAAGGAUUUAGCUAGUUUGAUAUUCUUUUGGAUUUCGAAACUCUAGCAUUGCUACUUCUAUGGUUCUUUUUGAUUUUUGUAUCAUUAAUCUAUUUCUCUCUUUCCUCUAUUA